ensembl:miRNA MIR6131 microRNA 6131
UCCCGCAUUCCCUCUGCUUUGGUCAGGUGGUGCCCUCCUUCCAUGGGUAGAGCCAGAGAUGGUGGGUUCUGGCUGGUCAGAUGGGAGUGGACAGAGACCCGGGGUCCUC